rnacentral:ncRNA from 1 species
GAUUGGGUAAUCUUGUGAAACUUGGUCGUGAUGGGGAUAGAGCAUUGCAAUUAUUGCUCUUCAACGAGGAAUACCUAGUAAGCGUAUGUCAUCAGCAUGCGUUGAUUACGUCCCUGCCCUUUGUACACACCGCCCGUCGCUACUACCGAUUGAAUGGCUUAGUGAGGUGUUCGGAGAGCCUAUAGGGUGCUGGCAACAGUGCUUUACUGGUUCAAAGUUCUACGAACUUGGUCAUUUAGAGGAAGUAAAAGUCGUAACAAGGUUUCUGUAGGUGAACCUGCGGAAGGAUCAUUA